rfam:Larimichthys crocea isolate SSNF unplaced genomic scaffold scaffold554, whole genome shotgun sequence.
UAAGUUCUGGACCUGGCAUACAGUGUAGGAUUCUGUGUGUGUCAGUCUACAGCUACAUUGUCUGCUGGGUUUCAGGCCUAUACU